rnacentral:tRNA from 1 species
GGUACUGUGUCCGAGUGGUUAGGAAGCGGUCUGCAAAACCGCGAACAUCGGUUCAAAUCCGAUCAGUACCU